GACGUAGGGCGCAAGCGUUGUCCGGAUUUAUUGGGCGUAAAGAGCUCGUAGGCGGUCUGUCGCGUCGAUCGUGAAAACUUGGGGCUUAACCCUGAGCUUGCGGUCGAUACGGGCAUGACUGGAGUUCGGCAGGGGAGACUGGAAUUCCUGGUGUAGCGGUGAAAUGCGCAGAUAUCAGGAGGAACACCGGUGGCGAAGGCGGGUCUCUGGGCCGAUACUGACGCUGAGGAGCGAAAGCGUGGGGAGCGAACAGG
rnacentral:rRNA from 1 species